AUAUAUAUAUGUAUGCAUGUAUAUAUAUAUAUAUAUAUAAAAGAAAUAAUUGAGAUUCAGUUGAAUUAGGUACUUAAGUUGAAGUACUAAGUCAACCCAGUAUUAUCUGCACAGCUUGAAGUAAGGUGAAUAAAAUCAAAAUAAGCAACAGGAUAUCAAGUAGUAACGCAGUACGACCUUUUCAAGCAACUCCAUUUAAUUGAACAAUGCAAUCACUACAUCAAUUUAAGUGCAGUGCUAUCAUCAGCUGCACAAAUAAAUAGAA